rnacentral:lncRNA from 1 species
GGCAGAGAGCCUACUCCAAUAGCUAUCCCUUCCAUACGUAGGAGGACCUAUGGUCGCCCAGCAACACUAACAGUUGAUCAUCGGCAGGUCAAGGAUGGGCAGACGUCGGAAAGGUCAUGUUGUCUACUAUAAUUUAAACAAAAUUAAUUGUGUGUGCUAGUUUGAUAAAUUAAAUAAUUAUUUUUAAUAUUGGACUGAGUAAUUGUUUAUGGGUUCGAGGCUUGAUAUUUGAGGGCCGGUAGCACCAAUCUAUCCUUAAUUAUUAUGUGUGUCAUUUUCAACAUUUUU